GGGGAUAUAGCUCAGUUGGUGGAGUGCUUGCUUUGCAUGCACAAGGCCCUGGGUUCAAUGCCCAGCAUCACCA
rnacentral:tRNA from 1 species